GCUUUCCUGCACGCCUUGUCGGCCUUGGAGCUAGCCUUGGCGGGGGCGGGCCGAGGCGUCGCGGCGGAGGACGAUAAGCAGACGGGCACGCGCCGCCGGCGCGCUUGCCGUGGGCGUCCGCUUCGCCCGAGCCCAGGAGUGGGGCGAGGGGUCGCGCCGGCGUUCCUAUAUGCCUUGUCGCCCUUGAAGCUGGCCUUGGCGGGCCGAGGCGUCGCGGCGGAGGACGACAAGGCGGUCGGCGUGCUCUGUUGGGGCGACGCGUCGCGGCGCUCCGGCUCCAGCAGAUGACGGCAGAGAGCCAGGUGUGGCUUUGUGUCGCCAACAGCCACGAGGUCAUCGGCGCCGGCCACCGUGCCAGGCUGGACCAGCUGCUGCAGCCCCCCUGCGUCGUCGCCGUCGCCGUGGCACAAGAAGCGCGAGUUCCCCCUCGCUAUCGGAGGCUGGGUGUCGUUCUCUAGUGCAGAUUGUCUAAUUGAGUUUUUGAAAGCGUCGUCCACGUCUGCACUUCAUGGGUCCAUACACUGGGAACUCACGCCUGAGAACUUCCUGCUCACCAGAUUGGUUUCAGUUUCUCUGUCUCCAUCGAAGAAGCAGUGGCAAGCAUGGUUAGGGCGAGCAACGAGGGUUCCUGUAGUGCAUAACCAUUUCAAGUCGCCCAACUUCUAAAGAGAGAUCAUAAGUGCCAGCUACUGAAGCAAAAAAAGGACCUGAUACACAUUGUGAUAUUCCUAAUGGUUGCUGCUGACGCUAAAAAAAUUACUCCUGAAGCACUAGAAGUGCCCUCUCUAUGGCGCAUCACUCACUGGAUCCAGAUGGGCAACAUUCCGCUUCAAGAUUAAAGA